rnacentral:rRNA from 1 species
UACGGAGGAUGCGAGCGUUAUCCGGAUUUAUUGGGUUUAAAGGGUGCCUAGGCGGACUGUCAAGUCAGCGGUAAAAUUGAGAGGCUCAACCUCUUCCCGCCGUUGAAACUGGUGGUCUUGAGUGGAUGAGAAGUACGCGGAAUGCGUGGUGUAGCGGUGAAAUGCAUAGAUAUCACGCAGAACUCCGAUUGCGAAGGCAGCGUACCGGCAUCCAACUGACGCUGAGGCACGAAAGCGUGGGGAUCAAACAGG